CAAAAAGCAGUCUAACAGGUUAAACCAACCUCCACAGAUUCAAUUGUUCCUCAUCGGAGACUUUUCUGCGCCUGAUGUCCUGCUCUGUUCUUCCAUUAACUUCUAUCCGCAGUUUGUUUUAGUUUGUUUCUAUCUGAGGUGACUUAAACCAGGAGACCAGGUAGGAUAUGUCACAACAAGUCCCAGCAUGACUGAUCAUGUGGAAAGGUGCGCACAUGGCGCGGCGCUGGACGAGGAAGUGAGGCCGAACCGACCUGCGCUGUGAGGAGAUAACUGUGAGGAGAAUGGACGAGUUUCGGUUUGUCAAAACUAAGGAAUCCUACAUGAAAGAGCCGUUUAGGGCUGUUGUUUGCGCUCUCUUGCGCCAAUGAACGCGCAAAUGUCGGUGGCGCUGUGGCGCGGCGCGGCACUACUGCUCUGCUGCGCCUGUUUGUGCGCCGCUGUGGAGGAAGAGUGUGUCCUCGGUAUAGUGGGGAACCCGGUGUUACUGCCCUGCCUUUAUCCAGACCUAAGCUCAUUUCUCAACUUCUCUAUCGAGUGGAGAAGAAACGAUGAAGCUGUGCUCAGAUCACUGUGGAAAGAGGAUGGGGACGUGGAGACAUGGAGCUUGAAUCAUGUCAGCAUUUCCACUGAUGUACUUUCCACUGGAGACCUUUCUCUCACGCUGCCAUCUGCUCAUCCCAAACUGGACAGGAGCAAAUACAGCCUUUUCUUGUUUGCAGGGGAGAAUCAGACUGAGCCGCUGUGUACCGUGUCCCUAAGGAUUGCAGCAAGUUUCAGCCCCCCCGAAGUGAUGAAGGUGCCUUCAGAAGAAAAUUCGACCACCUACCUGUGUCACUCCUCAGGGGGCUACCCCCAGCCUCUAGUUCACUGGAUCAUCAAUGACAGCCAGGAGCCCCCCAACGGCUCAGUGGAAACCCAGGCGCUGAUUGAUUCCCACCUAUACAACCUAACAAGCCACCUGACCCUCAACUUCUCCAGCCCUGCCACCGUCUCAUGCACCAUUGAGAAUCAGUCCAUGAAUGAAACGCUGACAUCCAAAUACGGAGAGACCCCCAAGGUGAGGCGGGCGUCAGAGGGCAUGUGGAUCUUCAGCACCGUCCUGUGCGUGGUGGUCGCCCUCAUGGUGAUAGCCGGGUUGUGUUAUCAGAUUAACCUGGACAAGAUUAGUAAGAGGAGGAAGAAGGAAUUUGAAAAACCACAUAGAGGAAGACGACAGCGGUACAAGCAGGCAGCCGAGGUGAUGAUGGAGGAAUCAAAGGAGACUGACGUGUGACAAAAGGACAAAGGGACAAAAAAAAACACCUGAUCCACCAUCAAUUUUUACUGCAAGUCCAAAGAAGCACUGAUGUUUUAUUUGUUUUGAAUUAUUUAGCGCAUCAUAUUUGUUAGAUAUUUACCUGACUCUUUCUUUUUGCCCCUUAUGAAAGUGUGAAAUAGCAAGGACUAUUUUCUUAAGUGUGAGAUUUGAUGUCAACCCAUUAUAACCCAACUCAGGGAUUAUAAUUUUAUUGCAGAUCUUGAUAUUUAGUUUUGUUUCAAAUAAAACCCCAAACCAUUAUAAAAUCCAUACACACAAAUAUAAUGAAAGCACAGCAUGUUCUACUCUUAAUGGAGAGAUUACAAAAUGUAAAAAAAGAAAAAAAAGUCUGAUUGCAGGAAGUGAAGAAAACUUUAUAAUAGAUUGUUAAAAAUAUUUUUCUUAACAAAACUGCUUUUAACACUGUUAGUUUAACCUGUUUCUGUGAACUGCUUCACAUCUGUGUUGCAUGGAGUCACUAAAACCCGUAAACAGAUGGAUGUACUAGAUACAAAACCUCUUUCUUGGUUUUGAAUCAGAAACAGUAAGGUUUCUGUUUCCCCAGGUUUAAAUCCUCAGAUUUCAUGGGCAAUUUAUAAUGCAAUCUGAAAACAACUUUCUUCUCACGUAUGAGUGCCUUUUUGGUCCUUUUAUUGUCAAAGGUAUAGGGUAGGACUUUCGCAAAUUUUUUAAAAGAUCAGCCCUCUCCACUUUAAAACAAAACAAUGCACAACCAGCACAUGAUUAAACGCAUGUGAGAGUUUCGGUUUGCAUCGCUCAUACAAGUGUACUUUCCAAAAGAUUUCCAAUUUUUCCACUAUGUCAUCCUUACCACUGAUAAGUAAGGGGUCGAACACGUAGGACGGUCUUACGUAAACAUGUCAUCAGAAUGAUUAACAAAUUAAGAGAACCACUUAUUUCGAUGAUCCACCUGGAAAAAGAACGUCCUCCACUAUACCUUUAAAGCAUGAAUUUACUGUUUAAGGUAAAAUGAAAAAGUUCAGUGUUUGGAACUGAUCCAUGAUCCCAUAUAAGUGAAGUUGCCCCCAAUGCCUUCUCCAAUCCCAUCAUAAUUGGUGUCAACAAUUUCAUUUUUUGUCUGCGGCACCAGGUUUUCCUGCAAAUGGCAAUCAGCUGAGCACAGAGACACUUUAGAUGAACUCUGGAAACUUUUAUUAAAAUCUUUAAAGCAAAAGAGUGUAUAUAAAAACUUGAUGCACAAAGGAGCCACAUUUUAUUGACACCCCUUUAGUACGGGGGUUGAUUCACUCAGGUCAGGAUAGUUGGUAUGUAAUAAAUAGACCUGGAGCAUUAGUAGGAAAAUUAAUCCCCUAUCAUGAUCCCUGCCCCACCAUGCUUCAAAGUGCACUGUGGCCUGAAUCCAGUUUGGGGAUUGGCAUUAAACUUAACAAGCUUGUAUCUCCAGUUUUUUUUUAUUUUUUUUUUACCCCCGAUAAUCUUGAUUUAUUGUGGCUUCUUGCUGAAAGCUUUUAAUCAUUACAUUACUUAUAGGUAACACUAGACCCUCUCCAACCAAAUGGAGGUGAUCACAGACUGUUGUUUUGAUUACCGUUUCAUCCACUGGAACAGCAGAUUUUCUUUUUCACAUCAAACUUUAUUGAUCUCACACUGGAGAAAUUCACACGUUUUAUAACCCAUCCCCUUGGGGAGCAGUGGGCUGCCAUUGUGCAGCACCCAGGGAGCAGUGUUGGGUUAAGGGUCUUGCUCAGGGAGCCAGAGUGGCAGUCAGUGGGAGUGGGGCUUGAACUCAGAACCUCCUGGACCAAAGCACAAUGCCCUAACCUCUAGGCCACCACCUUUCCAGUCUAGGUUUACAUUUUCUAAGUGGCCUUUAAUGUUUUCCUCUCAUGGGUCAUGGAGGUGCUGCAGGGAGGUGGUAAAAUCUGUCUACCUACAGGUUUUACUUUCAUCUGUUAACUUUUAGUAGGCUGUUCUUCUAAACGGCACAUGGAAGGACCCAUUUUCCUCUGCUAGAAAUGCACUAUACUACAUCUAUUAGUAAUGUGUGUAGAAAUAUAUUUUUUAUUCAAAGCAGGUGCUAGCUUUGUAUGGCUAAUAGUUUGAACACACCUAUAUGUAUUUCAGAGGAUCUAAAUUUUUUUUUUUUGCUUUCUUUUUAUUUUUGAAUCUCCUACAGUUGUUUGUAUGUAUGGCUUUAUUUGUUUUUUCCUUGUAAAGCACUUUUAAAUAUCUGUUCUCUUAAAAGGUGCUAUUUUCACAUAACGCUUUAAGUCAUUUCUUUUUAAAGUUCUAUUAUAAAUCUUUGUUCUAUGACAAAAUGUAUAAAAGGAAAAACAUUUGCAGGAUUAUUUUCUGACA